rnacentral:rRNA from 1 species
UCGAGAAUCUUCGGCAAUGGGCGCAAGCCUGACCGAGCGACGCCGCGUGGAGGAUGAAGGCCUUCGGGUUGUAAACUCCUGUCGAGGGGGAGGAAGGCGCAAGCUUGACCGAUCCCUGGAGGAAGCACGGGCUAAGUUCGUGCCAGCAGCCGCGGUAAGACGAACCGUGCGAACGUUAUUCGGAAUCACUGGGCUUAAAGCGCGUGUAGGCGGAUGGGAACGUCGGUAGUUGAAAGCCCCCGGCUCAACCGGGGAAGUGGUGCCGAAACGACCCGUCUGGAGGGACGUAGGGGGACCUGGAACUUCCGGUGGAGCGGUGAAAUGCGUUGAGAUCGGAAGGAACGCCCGUGGCGAAAGCGAGGUCCUGGACGUCUACUGACGCUGAGACGCGAAAGCUAGGGGAGCAAACG